rnacentral:rRNA from 1 species
AGUGAACGCUGGCGGCAGGCCUAACACAUGCAAGUCGAACGGCAGCACAAGAGAGCUUGCUCUCUGGAUGGCGAGUGGCGGACGGGUGAGGAAUGCAUCGGAAUCUGCCCAUUUGUGGGGGAUAACCUCGGGAAACCGGGACUAAUACCGCAUACGACCUACGGGUGAAAGCAGGGGAUCUUCGGACCUUGCGCAGAUGGAUGAGCCGAUGCCGGAUUAGCUAGUUGGAGGGGUAAAGGCCCACCAAGGCGACGAUCCGUAGCUGGUCUGAGAGGAUGAUCAGCCACACUGGGACUGAGACACGGCCCAGACUCCUACGGGAGGCAGCAGUGGGGAAUAUUGGACAAUGGGCGCAAGCCUGAUCCAGCCAUGCCGCGUGUGUGAAGAAGGCCUUCGGGUUGUAAAGCACUUUUGUUGGGAAAGAAAAGCAGCCGGUUAAUACCCGGUUGUCAUGACGGUACCCAAAGAAUAAGCACCGGCUAACUUCGUG